GAUCAUGCAUAGAAGUGGUAUUUUCAGAUUUUUCUUGCUCAUAUGAAUCUAUAAAGGCCACCAAAGCUUGUGUGCGCUUCAAUAGGUACUUAAAAAGAAGAAUGGUUUGUUGCAGCCGUAUAGAAGGAAGGGGCAUGUUACAUUUCAUGCAAGAUCUGUGCAUCAAAGAGCAGUUCAAGGACUUGAAAGAGCGAUUAAGGAUAGCUUUCAGAGAGUUAUGCUAAGUUUCAGGUUGUGAAGUUGAAGAUCAAUAAAAUAAAGGGUAGAGUUUCAGUUCCAGCUUGAGUUUGGGCCAAUAAAUUAGGAAUUUUGGAGGUGAUUAGAGAAGAUCUAGUACAGUUAAGGCUCCCCAUGGGUUGGACAUAAGUUAAGAUUUUUUUGGAGCAGUCAACUUUCAGUUACCAACAGUUCCACCUCUCUUUUUGCAUAUUUUCUUCUCAAAUUCGACCGCAAACAAUACAGCUCAUGCGGGUUGGUGAAGAUUUCAAGAAAGAGACCCCUAGUUUGAAGACAAGUUUUAAGAGGUAGAGGCAAUUCAUCUCCAACUCAAGCCAUCAGUCAGGAAUGCAACCUCUCUUCUAUAAAUCUUCCUUUCUUCUUCUUCCUAUCUAGUUCUUUUUCUCUCUGCCUUUGCAUUCAGCGGGGCAUGAAGUAUUGUAGCUCAUUAGAAGCAUUCUCAACUGUAUGAAAUUCCUUUAUAUUUCAAUAAAAGCAGUAAUUUUUCUUCUUAA